rnacentral:rRNA from 1 species
UACGUAGGGUGCGAGCGUUGUCCGGAAUUAUUGGGCGUAAAGAGCGUGUAGGCGGCCUGGUAGGUCAGCUGUGAAAACUCGAGGCUCAACCUCGAGACGUCGGUUGAAACCACCUGGCUAGAGUCCGGAAGAGGAGAGUGGAAUUCCCGGUGUAGCGGUGAAAUGCGCAGAUAUCGGGAAGAACACCCGUGGCGAAGGCGGCUCUCUGGGACGGUACUGACGCUGAGACGCGAAAGCGUGGGGAGCGAACAGG